rnacentral:rRNA from 1 species
GACGAACGCUGGCGGCGUGCUUAACACAUGCAAGUCGAACGAAGUGGCGAACGGGUGAGUAACGCGUAAUCAACCUGCCCUUCAGAGGGGGACAACAGUUGGAACCGACUGCUAAUACCGCAUACUGAAGGCGGGGUGUGCGUCUGAUUAGCUAGUUGGGGGGGUAACGGCCCACCAGGGCGAUGAUCAGUAGCCGGUUUGAGGGGAGGAACGGCAAACUGGGGAAUGAGGAACGGCCCAGAACUCUACGGGAGGGAGCAGUGGGGAAUCUUCCGCAAUUGACGAAAGUCUGACGGAGCAACGCCGCGUGAGGGAUGACGGCCUUCGGGUUGUAAAGCUCUGUUAAUCGGGACGCGGUACCGGAAUAGAAAGCCACGGCUAACUACGUGCCAGCAGCCGCGGUAAUAC